GAAAACGCAUGCUAAGAUACCUGAAGUUAUCUUGCAAGUAGAUUCGAUUACUUUUUCAACUAGCAAAUCAGUGUGGUUGUUUUUACCAGAAUAUCUUAAGCGUCGCUUUGUGAUUAAAAAAAAGAGGCUUACACAGACCGUAAUAUCCGUUCGCUCAUACGCAAAAUUUUACAAUCUAAUUUACCGAACCCAGCUCGAAAAUCAAAGUCCACAACUGCGGCAGCUAAACUUGUACUACGACUCUCUGUCGUCUCCUCCGACACGUGUGGUUAUUGUGUCAACAUAUUUUUUUUUUUUUUUUAUAAAAGAAGAGUACGGAGCACACGCACACUGUAUUUGCUGUGGAUGAACAGAAGUUGACUGGGUUUGAUCAUGUAUGCCCUGAAGGGGAGUUUACCUGUAUUCAACAGCCAGGUGAGGGUGCACAAAAUGAUAGAAAAUACUUCCAUGCGUUUCCUAGAUAUCAGUUCUGACAAACAUCUUGAAAACGGACUAUUUGGGUGACCAACAAAAACGGAUCAGAUAUGCUGAUAGAGUGAUAUAAAACUGUCCCUGUGUAUUUUAAAGUUGUUUCAAAUGAUAGAUUGCUGGAUGCAUUGCUAUGUGACCAAAGCCCGAACACAAGAUGGUGAGUACCCAUCCUAUACUAUUUUCAGGAAUCAGGAAGUGUUAGUGAUGGAGCAUAACAGAUACCUCAGAGAGAGAGAGAGAGAGAGAGAGAGAGAGAGAGAGAGAGAGAGAGAGAGACAAAGGGAGUAUAUCUUAAAUAGAGCAUGUCUGUUUUCUUGGUUGCCCAAGCCACCCACAUUUUUGUGUUUUUGUUAUGAUAUUCAAUGCUCCAUACUAAGUCUGGUAACUGACACACCGUAUACAGAAAGCGUGACGCCCUUCCUUGAUUGUUACUAAUCAUUGAUAAUUAUUGGUUUAAUAAUUAGAACAACAAAGGCACGGCUACCCAACCAUGAAGCUUGGACUUGGGGUAUAUUAAUUUAUCAUAUGUUCUAGAACACGUGUUCUAUGUUAUGACUUAAAUUAAAGUCACUACCAUUAAUUACUAAUUUUAUCAUUCAACCUGUAAAACAGGUAUUCAAGCAAAGCACGAUCUUCUUCAUUCGAAUGCUUUUCUUUGCCGCAUUUACACCCCCUCCCACUCACAGUUUGCACAAACUUACGAUAUUGUUUUAAGUAUGAAAGUAUCAUGUGUUUUUACUUAUAUGUAUUUUUUUGAUUAUUACAGAUGAAGUUGAAAUGAAAACUGUAAUAUAUUUGUACGUUUAAUAAAUGCAAGCAUAUAAGCGCUUCUUUC